rnacentral:rRNA from 1 species
GACGAACCGUGCGAACGUUGUUCGGAAUCACUGGGCUUAAAGGGCGCGUAGGCGGGCUGCCAAGUCUGGGGUGAAAUCCCACGGCUCAACCGUGGAACUGCCUCGGAUACUGGCGGCCUCGAGGGAGGUAGGGGCGUGCGGAACUGUGGGUGGAGCGGUGAAAUGCGUUGAUAUCCACAGGAACGUCCGGUGGCGAAGGCGGCACGCUGGACCUCUACUGACGCUGAGGCGCGAAAGCCAGGGGAGCAAACGGG